GAGAGAACUGUCCUGGGCAGGGGCGAGAGAGAGCUGGAGACCCUGGAGAAUGAACUGGAGGAGCUGCGGAGGAGAGACAAGGAAAUGGGCCAGCUACUGAUGAGGGAUAAUGCUCAGUUCUACAGGUGGGGGGGUGGGGGGGGGGGGACUGAAGGGAGAGAGGAAGAGCAGGAGAAGAGAAGAAACAGUGAGGAAUGAUGGGGAAAGGGAGGGAUAUGGAGAGAAAGAAAGACUGGAUGCAAGCUGAAAAAUAAAGGAGAGAGAAAUUUAAUGAGGAAGACAUGGAGAGAGACUACAAAGAAUAAUGCAGUCAAAACAGACAGAGAGAGAGAGAGAGACGAACGGUGACAUGAUACAAAUACGCUACUCAUCACCCCUCCUCCUCCAUCCUCCCUCUCUCCUCAUCCAUCCAUCCCUCCCUCCCCUCUCCUCUCCAUCCCCAGGAGGCUCCCCUGCUGUGUGUGCCUCCCACCCACUGGGCGGCGCCCGAGCCCCUCUCAUCCCCCGCGCAAAGGCUUCAGUGCAGCCCGCAGAGCUCGUCCCACCUCAGGGCCCGCAUGGAGGAACUCUGUAGAGAGGAAUGGACAAGACAGCCACGCAGGUGGAGGGAGUAAAGACACACACACACACACACACUGGUUUAUUCUCAAACACACACAACUGCAUGCAACUUUUCACAGCUAGCUCUCAGAGACUCCAAUAAUACAUCUCAAAUGACAAUGUGUGAUGUCACAAUGUGACACACUUUUUUACCUCUCUGUAGUGAACGAGAGCCCUCUGCCUGUCACAUUCUGGUGGAGAGUGUUUGAAAGUAGCAGUGCCUGCAUCAUUCCUCUCUCCCUCCCCCCCCUCUCUCCAGCCUUCGGACCAGAGGAUGAGAGUAUCCUUCCUCAGGUGCUCCUGUCGUCUGUCCCUGGAUCCAGACACGGCCCACCCCACCCUGUUCCUCUUGGAGGGUCCCCAGGGGGCUCACUGUGGAGAGGAGCCCCAGUCCUACCCCCCACCCCUUGCGCUUCGACUCCGUGGCCCAGGUCCUCUGUAGGGAGGCCAGUUUGGAGGGGCCAGCACUGGGAGGUGGAGUGGAGGGGAGGAGGGUGGGUGGACAUUGGGGGUGACGUACAAAGGGAUCGGACGAAAAGUAGCUGCUUCUAGGGAUUGUUUUUUCUGUCAGUUAUGUCGAGAAUUUGCAAAUGUCAAACUUUCCACACAAAGUGUUUGUAAUAGUGACUUUCUAAUCAAGGCUUUGUCUGAAACGGUAUCCAUUUGGCUCCGGACAAAACGUGUGCACUAUAUAGGGACAGCCAAAGGUUUCUUAUCAAGAUUCCCUGGUGAAGGUUUCUAUUCAUGUUUUUCUCAUCUAAAGGAGGUGGAAAACAUGUCUGCUGGGACGCAACGAGACUCAUGGCGUCUGAGAUGCACGCACGCCGGUUACGCCGCGUGGCACGAUAACCGGAAGACGACCGUAGCUGCGCCCCUGUGCCCGCGGAUCGGCGUGUUUCUGGAACACCAGAAGGGAGCGUUGUCGUUCUAUAGUGUGGCGUCGGACGCCGUUUCCUGCUCCACACGUUCAGGUGUCCGUUCUCUCAGCCCUGUACCCAGCGUUUCGGUUAGACCUGGACCCACACGGUUGAUAUGUCCCCAUGAAACACACACGAACUAACCUCUAACCUCUUCCCAUCUGUUUUCGGAUCUCCUAUUUGACCCAAUGGGAACCCAUCCUAGACCCAACCCUAACUCUGCUGCCCCUCUCUCUGAACACCUUCUGUUGACCCAAUGGGAACCCAUCCUAGACCCCAAACCUAACUCUGCUGCUGCCUUUCUUGUUAUGGCCAAAACCCUGCUUUAGUGUUGCCAGGUACCUCUACUCCUCCACUGUGUUUUUAAAUGAACCCCAAAAUCUCCAACCAACAACUGAUUGUUUACUCAUUGCUGUUGCUCGACAUUUCAGUCAUUUAGCACACACUCUAUUCCAGGCAACGUACAGGAGCAGUUAAAGUUAACUUACUCAAGGGCACAGCGACAGAUUUUUUCACUUAGUCAACCGGGCAACCUUUCAGUUACUAGCCCAACACUCUUAACCGCUAGGCUACGUGCCUCCCUGAAAUAUCAACUCAAGGUGUCAACUCAGCACAGGGCCACGGUAAGGGAUUAAUAAUUUAAUCAAUCAUUUUUGAAGUAUCGAUGCCAAAAAAACUCUAAUCUGCACUCAACUCCGUGGAGGCGUUGUGUUACUUGGAUAGCCUUACCUCGGCCUAUCACAAGUCACCAAACUAGUGAUGCUGAAAAGACAAUGUUGUUGUGUAAGGAGAGUCUGAACUGAGCAGCAUAUUGUAUGCAUGGCCUCUCCAUUCAAAUAUCAUUCACAAUGUGGCCCUAUUGUAAACAGAGACUUCACUUCAGCAGCCAUGAAGCCAUCUUGAUCAAUCAUCCUAUUCUAUUGAUCACUGUGACUGUUACUUAACAAUAACAUCAUGUGAAACAUUUCAAUGUAGCCGAAUGUGGAAUGUAGCUCUUUCAAAAUACUAUUAGUUGGAAAGGCUUUGAAUGCCAUUAUAUCACCAUGAAGGGACAUUGAAGAAAAUAUGUAUUUGCUAUAAAGUGCAUUAUUUCAUGAGUUAUAGUCAGACUAAUAGUGGGAUAGGCUAUGCUGGGUAGCCUAUGGUUUCUAUGGCCCCAUCUCUCUACCUCCCCAUUCCUUCAAUAAUUUAUUUCUCUGUGACUAUUACAAUGAAUGUGUAGCUUUGUAUUCAUGUGGGCUGUGUAACUGUUACUGUCUUCAAUAAACCAAUUAUACAUUUUCAAUCUCAAUUUUACUCUCAACGUUCCAAUUUUCCCCUUCAGAGCAUAAAACAAGAAAAGGUCUGCCCCUAGAGGGCUGGUCUGGGGGGAAGUCACAUGAUAGGAAA
rnacentral:lncRNA from 1 species